rnacentral:rRNA from 1 species
UACGUAGGGUGCGAGCGUUAAUCGGAAUUACUGGGCGUAAAGCGUGCGCAGGCGGUUCGUUGUGUCGGCGGGGAAAGCCCCGGGCUUAACCUGGGAAUGGCCGUUGAAACUGGCGAACUGGAGUGUGGCAGAGGGGGGUGGAAUUCCGCGUGUAGCAGUGAAAUGCGUAGAGAUGCGGAGGAACACCGAUGGCGAAGGCAGCCCCCUGGGCUAACACUGACGCUCAGGCACGAAAGCGUGGGGAUCAAACAGG